AUCCAGGCGGGAACCAGAUUGUCUCCUUGAGCCCCUUCCCUCCCUACUUGGCCGCCAACCGCAGCCCAGGCCGCAGAAACGAGCCCUUCCGCCGAGGCCACCUGGAUGCCCUUGGCCCGCCUCCCUCCCACCCGCCCCUGCCGCGGAGUGGAACCCUUGGAGUGGAACCCUGAGGGAUACAGCUUCCAGUGGCUACUUUGAGACUGAGAGAGAAACAGAGGAAGAAAUGCCUGGAAGUGUAAGAUUUCAUCACAGUCCCAUUCUCCGAUUUCCAGAUCAGAUGGCCUUUUGGCAAUGAUUGCUUUGGAUCUUAAUUUAUAGAUCUUUUCUUCAAGAUUUUAAGAAGAGGAGAAAAAGUAAGUGAAAAGAUAUUCUGGGGAAAUGAAGCAAAAGAGGCAGAUGUGGUUUCUACAUGAAACAUGUUGUGAGGAAUUUGUUGGGAUUCUCCUGAAAAAGUGACCAAAGGGAUUCUUCUGGACUUUUGGGAAGAUUAAAUAAGAUAGAUCAUCGAUGUCAGAGUGUUUUGUAAAAAUUUGAAAGUGUAUUGCAAACGAAACUAUUUUUAUUACUCGUUCUAAUCUGAAUUCCUUAAUCCUCUGAGCUAUUUAAAAGAGAAAAAUGUAAAGGUAAGAAGAGAAUGUGAAAAAAUACUUGUAUUCCAUGUUCAAGGGUGCAUUUGCUGAUUAGAAGAGUAAUAUCUUUGGUGUAUAGCUCUGCCACAAUAUCAUAUCUGCUCAUCUAUCAAAGUCAUCCAUCAAUUAGACAUUGGAGUGGGAUGCCAGAAUCGAAGGCCACGUAGCACGGGCACAUUACCAAUAGAACGCCAAAGCUGGUAAGGUGGCUGCAGGUACAGACGGUUUCAUUCAGCUUCCUAUCUUUGAUGGAGCAGCCAUUGGAUGACCAGCCUCCUGCGCCCCCUGUUGGCAUCGGGAAGAGCAUCUGUCAGCAAGGAACAACACUGACUUGUCACUCACCCGCUCAAGGCUUUGAAAAGGUUGUGAGUGGGAACCCAUACUACUAAGUGAAGUAUCCCAAGAAUGGAAAAACAAGCACCACAUAUAUUCACCAGCAAACUGGU